CACCAGUGGGCUUUGUGCAAAGGUCUUGCUUGCAGUAAAGAACUAGCUAUUUCUUUAUUAGUGACCUUGUGAGUCCUUGAAAUCCAAAUGACCUUGUUGAUUUCCUUAAAACCCAAGAUGAGAAAGCCUUGAAGUUAUUUUUGUACAGCAUUUCUGU